CCACGUGUCACCUUCUUAUUGGUCGCCAAAAUAUGCAUUCCCACAAAUGCCCUCUAGCUUCUGCAUGGUGCUUGUGAGGCUUGGAGGAGAUGAGAAAUAUUUAUCGAGCUUUCCAACUGCAUCUCAGCUUCCUUCUGUGAGUUGAGUACUUUUCAUGAGUUGGGCUCCUAAUUGGAGUAGGCUUUUGACUUCUUCUUGGAGUUGGGCUCCUAAUUGGAAUAGGCUUGAGACAACUUAUUGACUUGAGAUGCCCAACCUUUAUAAAUACAAGGUUUCUCUUCGCUCCUCUUCAAAUUGCAAACUUGAUUUCCUCUACUUUAUAACUUGUAAGAGAAAUCUUAGAGGAGUGCACUAUUUAUCAAGGAGAGGAGUAUUUGUGCACACCAAAAUAGGUCACGCUUAGAUUUUUAUGUUUAUCUAAUUUUUUUUUUUCAAGGUGAGGACCAGCUAGUGUGGUCCCGGCUAGUUGUUGUCAUGAUCGGGUGCGACGACGGCAGCUAGCAACAGCUAGCAACAGUUGCCGUGAUUAUUUAUGCUCUUCUCGGUGAGGACCGGCAGACCUUAGUUGGCCAGUUGUCGUUGUGAUGCUGAGGUUGGAGCGACGGAAUGGUGGCUGCGCGACCGUGGUUGUUGCCCCUUUUUUUUUCUUUUUUUUGUGCUGUGCUCUUCACUAGCUAGGCUUCCGAAUCGCGUCUUUUGAUGCUAUUUGGCCUUGAGGGACUUUGAUUUUAUGUUUCUUUUUGCCUAGAAACAUUUGUUUGUCGAACUGUCAAUCAAGGUUGUUGAUUGGACAGAAUCAUAUUUGAAUACAUGGUCAGAUUAAACGUUUGACAACAUAAUAUUUCAAACUAUUUUAAAGAAUGUUACUUUCUUUUUUAAACCAGCACUAUUGGGAAAAUCUCUUCAAAUGAGAGAGAGAGAGAGAGAGAGAGAGAGAGAGAGAGAGAGAGAGGGCGGAUAUGUGCAUCUUUCCUGUGAAUUAAAGUCCAAGUUACAAGUUGUUUUGUUGUAGAUAUAUUUCCAAGUUCCUUGCCCCACAUGAAGACAUUAAAAAUGUAGCGUAGCACAAAAAGAAAAAUGCUAGGAAGAACAUAUAGUAUAUCACGGGCACACAUUUUGAUAUUGUCUCCGAUGACGCAGCCAAAACAUCACUCUAAGAGUACUUCCACUUAUUUGUUAUGGUCAAGGGGAGGCAAGGGCAGAUACUAUUCAUGUGAAUAGUGUCAGCCCUUGCAAAAGGCAAGGUGUAUU
rnacentral:lncRNA from 1 species